AGGAUCAUUAACUGAAAUUUUGGGGAGGAGGCUUUGCUGCUGGCCCUUUUGGGGGCAUCUGUGCACACUCCUCCCUUAAUUCCUCCUAUACACCUGUGCAACCUCCUGUGGGCUUUGGGGAAACCUGGGCCUGCAUCUUGUUUCACACACAACUGUACAUAUUUACCUAUGAAUGCUUGUUGGCUCUUUGAGCCCAUAAAAUAUAAUCAAUACAACUUUCAACAACGGAUCUCUUGGCUCACGCAUCGAUGAAGAACGCAGCGAAAUGCGAUAAGUAAUGUGAAUUGCAGAAUUCAGUGAAUCAUCGAAUCUUUGAACGCACCUUGCGCUCCUUGGUAUUCCGAGGAGCAUGCCUGUUUGAGUGUCAUGAAAUUCUCAACCCUAUUUUCUUCCUUGUGGAGGCUUGGGUGUUGGAAUGUGGGAGUGUGCCGUGUUCCCUUUCGAGGGAUAGAGGCUCUCCUGAAAUGCAUAAGUGAAUCCAGCUUUCUGCCUUUGGGGUUGUUGAAGCUUUGGUUUGAUAGUCCUCUGUUUGUCUAUGUGCCAUUGCUGCAACUCGAGUGCCCUAGAAGCUUUAGAAUGCCUGGAUGUACUGCCAUUGCUCCCCUCUUCUUUUUGACACUUUGACCUCAAAUCAGUAGGACUACCCGCUGAACUUAA
rnacentral:rRNA from 1 species